GACGAACGCUGGCGGCGUGCUUAACACAUGCAAGUCGAACGAUGAAGCGGGUGCUUGCACUCGUGGAUUAGUGGCGAACGGGCGAGUAACACGUGAGUAACCUGUCCUUUUCUUUGGGAUAACGGCUGGAAACGGCUGCUAAUACUGGAUAUUCAGGCUGCAUCGCAUGGUGUGGUUUGGAAAGGUUUUUUCUGGGAUUGGGUGGGCUCGCGGCCUAUCAGCUUGUUGGUGGGGUGAUGGCUUACCAAGGCUUUGACGGGUAGCCGGCCUGAGAGGGUGGUCGGUCGCACUGGGACUGAGAUACGGCCCAGACUCCUACGGGAGGCAGCAGUGGGGAAUAUUGCACAAUGGACGAAAGUGUGAUGCAGCGACGCCGCGUGGAGGGUGUAGGCCUUCGGGUUGUGAACUCCUUUGUCUCGCGAAAAAGGCACAGUUUUGGCUGUGUUGAUGGUAGUGGGGGAAGAAGCGCCGGCUAACUACGUG
rnacentral:rRNA from 1 species